rnacentral:lncRNA from 1 species
CUAAAGGAUAAGCGCGUUCUUCCGGAAAUUGUGACGAUUCGAACGGUGUGAGUCGAUCAAAGGACAAGGGGACAUUGACGGUACCUCCGCAGAAUUUCGAUCCCAACUGUCAGCGGGUGGAUUGGUGGUUGUUUGGCCAGCUAAACGGCGGCUAUGGGUGUCCGGAUCAGAAUCAGAUGUUGCUGGAUGGAUGAGAUUUUGUGACAAUCGCAGAAUAGUUUGUGGUAGAUCGUCAUUCAUCUCAAUGUACUCUGGAUCGAAUUCGGUUAUGGACGAUUGACUUUCCGUCUCAAUCGACUUGUUUCUCAAAAAAGUUUUAGUUCUGUGAUGUAGGUACUACCUGCCGAAGUGAACGGCACGACAAGAAUGCAAUGGAUGACAAACACAACGAAAAC